AGUGAACGCUGGCGGUAGGCCUAACACAUGCAAGUCGAACGAGUGGCGGACGGGUGAGGAAUACCUCGGAAUCUCCUCUGUCGUGGGGGAUAACGUAGGGAAACUUACACUACUACCGCCUACGAUAGCAUGAGCCGAUUUCGGAUUAGCUUUUUGGCGGGGUAAAGGCCCACCAAGGCGACGAACCGUAGCUGGUCUGAGAGGAUGAUCAGCCACACUGGAACUGAGACACGGUCCAGACUCCUACGGGAGGCAGCAGUGGGGAAGAUUGGACAAUGGGCGCAAGCCUGAUCCAGCCAUACCGCGUGGGUGAAGAAGGCCUUCGGGUUGUAAAGCCCUUUUGUUGGGAAAGCGUUACCCAAAGAAUAAGCACCGGCUAACUUCGUGCCAGCCGCCGCGGUAAUAC
rnacentral:rRNA from 1 species